GGAAGCGUAUCGUCACCGGUGUGGCGCCCGGUCUUCAAAACCGGUGGAAGGUCGAGAGGUCUUCGGUAGGUUCGACUCCUAUACGCUUCCGCCA
rfam:D.baculatus (DSM 1743) gene for transfer RNA-selenocysteine